AAUCCAGCCCACGGCAUUCAAAGGCUGAAGGGCCACCUGACACUCCAGAGGCUGCUGGAAAUGCAGGGCUGUUUCAUCCUGGGUAUUUUCCAGAGAGAAGUACUGAGAAGCUUAAAGUAUUUGAAUGGGAGGAGGAGAAGCAAACUACAGCUACUUCAGAGGAUAACACUAAACACCUAGUCCACUCUGUAUACACUAGAGGUGCUGUUAAUUUUCUUGUGGAGAAGGAACUGUCUUUAGAAAAAUAUCUCAAAAAGCCACUGAAGUAGAAAGUUUCAGCAUGCUGAAGAUGGAACUUGAGAAGAUAGAAAGUUCUGGGUCCUUAGUGGCAUGACUGAGUCGCUGGACCACUGUUGGAACCACCCUAUGUCUUAGUUUUUAAAUCUCUUUACUGUCUAAGACAUUUUUAGUGGAAGUAUUUAUCUCUGGCAUCCAAUAAGACCUUUAAGGAUUUGCAGUUUUA
rnacentral:lncRNA from 1 species